rnacentral:rRNA from 1 species
UACGGAGGGUGCAAGCGUUAUCCGGAUUCACUGGGUUUAAAGGGAGCGCAGGCGGAUUUGUAAGUCAGUGGUGAAAGGCUUAAGCUUAACUUGGGAACUGCCAUUGAUACUAUCUGUCUUGAAUAUUGUGGAGGUAAGCGGAAUAUGUCAUGUAGCGGUGAAAUGCUUAGAUAUGACAUAGAACACCAAUUGCGAAGGCAGCUUACUACCCGAAUAUUGACACUGAGGCACGAAAGCGUGGGGAUCAAACAGG